UUAACUAGGAAAGUGCGUCUCCCUUACUCGCACAACGGAAUAAACAUGUGCAGAAUGCUUAAACUAGCCUUUCAAAGGAAAUUGCUGUUUACCAUUAACAGUGAUGGCGCCAUUGUAUAUAACGGCAUAGAGCCUCGGAGAUCAUACGACGUAAUGACAGAAAUCGAUUGUACCAGACUAACCACACAGUUGAAAGAUAAGGGCAUCACGAUGGCUGACAUUAACACAAACGAUAACUUCAGGGGAACAGUGACUGUGGACUAAUUAGAUAAAACAACAAUCAGAUAAAAGAACAAUUAAAAAAUGGGUAAAUAUUGAACUAAACAAUUCGAGGGAACAUACAAAGUAAACCAAUCAUUUAAAAGAAAGUGGGAAACCUUCGCUGAAAUUGACUUGUAAUGACUUAUUAUAGAGAAGUAUGAGAUGAGACUAAG